UACGUAGGUGGCAAGCGUUGUCCGGAUUUACUGGGCGUAAAGGAUGCGUAGGCGGAUACUUAAGUCAGAUGUGAAAUUCCCGGGCUUAACUUGGGAGCUGCAUUUGAAACUGGGUAUCUAGAGUGCAGGAGAGGAAAGCGGAAUUCCUAGUGUAGCGGUGAAAUGCGUAGAGAUUAGGAAGAACACCAGUGGCGAAGGCGGCUUUCUGGACUGUAACUGACGCUGAGGCAUGAAAGUGUGGGGAGCAAACAGG
rnacentral:rRNA from 1 species